UAAGCAACCGGUGAUCCGCCAUCAGCAAUUGUAGUACAGGCGCGACAUUUGCGGAGUCCAAGUUUUACACCCAUUGGCAGGGUCACUGGGACCCACCUCCUCCUCCCACCUCCUCUUCACUCCUCUAUUAGACUAUAGUGGUAUACUUUAGUAGUGUUACACUAUUUUGAUAAAAUAAAUGUGUCACUUCACAUACAAUUUUCCUUAAAGCAUUUUGAAACUCAAUCUCCUAUUCCUAUUUUGACUGUUCUCUUAUUACGAUUUUAUCCAUCGUAAUACAUGUGCUAACUUGGAGAGAUUUUUGAAAAUAUAACGAGACCAAUGUUCUUACGUUACUCUAGCUACCUUGAUCACACCAUAUUUCAUAAAAGAAAUAACAUAGAACCUAGAGCGAUCACUUGAGUUACAAACCCACAUGUUGCAUCUAAUCCUAACCUUUUAUUUUCUCAAGUACCGUAGUGUGCGAAAGCUUUUUGACAACCCACGAUGAGGCCCAUCAACUUUUUACAAGAUCCAGCCCAAGUCAAGAGGCCUAGUGGACGGAGUCAUAUAGGAUAUAGCUGACUAAACAUUUGGUUACCCACUGAGUUGAGAGUGCUGAUGUGUCCACUUUGGAUUAUUCGUUUCUUUUUUUUUCCCUAUAUACCUUAAAUUCAUUUACGGAACCACCGCGUCACAAAAACGUGACAAUUCCACAUAAAAUUUUCACUGUAACAAAAACAUGGUUUAGUAUACUAAAUAUGUCG
rnacentral:lncRNA from 1 species